UUGCUCCCUGGUGGCGAGCGGCGGACGGGUGAGUAAUGCAUAGGAAUCUGCCCGAUAGUGGGGGAUAACCUGGGGAAACUCAGGCUAAUACCGCAUACGUCCUACGGGAGAAAGCGGGGGCUCUUCGGACCUCGCGCUAUCGGAUGAGCCUAUGUCGGAUUAGCUGGUUGGUGAGGUAAUGGCUCACCAAGGCGACGAUCCGUAGCUGGUCUGAGAGGAUGAUCAGCCACAUCGGGACUGAGACACGGCCCGAACUCCUACGGGAGGCAGCAGUGGGGAAUAUUGGACAAUGGGGGCAACCCUGAUCCAGCCAUGCCGCGUGUGUGAAGAAGGCCUUCGGGUUGUAAAGCACUUUCAGUGGGGAAGAAAGCCUUCCGGCCAAUACCCGGGAGGAAGGACAUCACCCACAGAAGAAGCACCGGCUAACUCCGUGCCAGCAGCCGCGGUAAUACGGAGGGUGCGAGCGUUAAUCGGAAUUACUGGGCGUAAAGCGCGCGUAGGUGGCUUGAUAAGCCGGUUGUGAAAGCCCCGGGCUCAACCUGGGAACGGCAUCCGGAACUGUCAGGCUAGAGUGCAGGAGAGGAAGGUAGAAUUCCCGGUGUAGCGGUGAAAUGCGUAGAGAUCGGGAGGAAUACCAGUGGCGAAGGCGGCCUUCUGGACUGACACUGACACUGAGGUGCGAAAGCGUGGGUAGCAAACAGGAUUAGAUACCC
rnacentral:rRNA from 1 species